UCAGGAGUUCAGCAGUUCUGUGAUCACUGGGCAGAGGACAGAUCUGAAACAGUUUUUCUUGGUUACUGAUUUGUUCUCAGAUCACUGCCAGUCUCUCACAGUUUUGAGAAGAUCUUUACUUGUUCUGAUAGACUUUUCCCUGGAGCUAGAUGUAGAUGGAGUAGAUGGCCAAAAGUAAGACAUGGCAGUUGCAGAGUGAGAGGUGAUCUCCAGCAUAAAGGGCACCCUCCCCUGAAAGGCUCUGCAUGCCAACAAAGACCUGGAGAUGGAUUCUUUUUGAUGGUGAGAAGAAACAGGUCUUUUUGUUUUUAGAACAUGCUAAGAUCUGCAGAUUUUCCUCAGAAAAUUGAAACAGAAGACUGGACAGAAGAAUAGACUCUGCGGCGAGGUUCAGCUGGUGUAGGAACUCCAGGACCUUGCUCAGCAGGGGACAUGACCCAUCUCCACUCACACCUCUUUACCAUUUUGCCAGUCAACAGUAUGAUUCUGCAACCUCUGCAGCAUCUGACAUGAUGGAUCUCAAUUGCCUGAAGUCACAGUAUCCUUAGAGUAUGUUAGCCAUUAUCACGCUGUGCUGUGCAUUCAAGUUGCAUGAAGUGUUUACAAAACUGAGGAUCAAAAGUGACCUUCCAAAGCCUCUCUCCUCACUGAUCUCACGCUAUGCUGGCACAGCGGGAGCUGAGCUCACCUCUCCACACAACUUCUGAUCCAGAAUCCUUCGUCACCGUGCAUAAGCUCCAAGUGGGAUGAAAGAUAGACCAAUAGAGAAAUGAGGGCACUGUACUGGUACAAGAAAUGUCUCUGGAGUCAUAAAUACAGUUAAGGAAACAUCUUCCACUCUGAAUUUGUCUAGUGAACAAUAUACAUAUAUUAUAUAUAAUAUAUAUUUUCCCCCUAGAAAUUCGGCUGUUCUUCCUUAUCUGUCUUACUGUUCUUUUCAACCAUUAAGUACUGCAGUGUGUUGUCAUUGUUCC
ensembl:lncRNA